rnacentral:rRNA from 1 species
UGCCUACGGGAGCAGCAGUCGGGAAUAUUGCGCAAUGGAGGAAACUCUGACGCAGUGACGCCGCGUAUAGGAAGAAGGUUUUCGGAUUGUAAACUAUUGUCGUUAGGGAAGAUAAAAGACUGUACCUAAGGAGGAAGCCCCGGCUAACUAUGUGCCAGCAGCCGCGGUAAUACAUAGGGGGCAAGCGUUAUCCGGAAUUAUUGGGUGUAAAGGGCGUGUAGGCGGGAAUGCAAGUCAGAUGUGAAAACUAUGGGCUCAACCCAUAGCCUGCAUUUGAAACUGUAUUUCUUGAGUGCUGGAGAGGG